AUGACCUUUCCUUCGCACUUAACCCUGACUGUUCAUGUAUCCAGAAACUCCUUGCUCAAAUUCCACAAAAUGGCUCUAUAUUCAUUCUCUCCCUGCUUCUCUGAGUACACUUUUCUUCUUGGCUCCCCGCUCUCCCACCUCUGUGCUCCUCCUCCUCCUCCCCUUCCUCCUCCUCCUCCUCCUCCUCCCCUUCCUCCUCCUCCUCUCCUCCUCCCUCCUCCUCCCCUUCCUCCUCCUCUCCUCCUCCCCUUCCUCCUCCUCCUCCUCCCCUUCCUCCCUCCUCCUCCUCCCCUUCCUCCUCCUCCUCCUCCCCCCUUCCUCCUCCCUCCUCCUCCUCCUCCUCCUCCUCAUCCUCCUCCUCCUCCUCCUCCUCUUCCUCCUCCUCCUCCUCCUCCUCUUCCUCCUCCUCUCUUCCUCCUCCUCCUCCUCCCCCCUUCCUCCUCCUCCGCCUCCUCCUCCUCCCCUUCCUCCUCCUCCUCCUCCUUCUCCUCCUCCUCCUCCCCUCCUCCUCCCCCCUUCCUCCUCCUCUCCUCCUCCUCCUCCCCUUCCUCCUCCGCCUCCUCCUCCUCCCCUUCCUCCUCCCCUUCCUCCUCCUCCUCCUCCUCCUCCUCCUCCUCCUCCUCCUCUCCUCCUCUUCCUCGUCCUCUUCCUCCUCUUCCUCUCCUCCUCCUCCAUCCUCCUCCUCCUCCUCUUCUCCUCCUCUUCCGCCUCCUCCUCCGCUUCCUCCUCCUCCUCCUCCUCGUCCUCCUCCUCCUCCCCCCUUCCUCCUCCUUCUCCUCCUCCUCCUCCCCUUCCUCCUCCUCCUCGUCGUCUUCCUCCUCCUCUCCUCCUCUCUUCCUCCCUCCUCCUCCUCUUCCUUCCUCCUCCUCUCCUCUUCCUCCUCUCCUCCUCCUCCUCUUCCUCUCCUCCUCCCCUCCUCCUCCUCAUCCUCUUCCUCCACCUCCUCUACCUCCUCCUCCUCCUCUCCUCCUCUCCUCCCCUCCUCCUCGUCCUCCUCCUCCUCCACCUCCUCCUCCUCCUCCUUCCUCCUCCUCUUCCUCCACCUCCUCCUCCACCUCCUCCUCCUCUCUCCUUCUCUCCUCCUCCUCCUCCUCCGCCUCCUCCGUCCUCCUCCUCUCCUCCACCUCCUCUACCUCCUCCUCCUCCCCUCCUCCUCCUCCUCAC
rnacentral:lncRNA from 1 species